rnacentral:rRNA from 1 species
GACGAACGCUGGCGGCGUGCUUAACACAUGCAAGUCGAACGCUGAAGCUCAGCUUUUGUUGGGUGGAUGAGUGGCGAACGGGUGAGUAACACGUGAGUAACCUGCCCCCUUCUUUGGGAUAACGCCCGGAAACGGGUGCUAAUACUGGAUAUUCACUGGUCUUCGCGUGGGGGUUGGUGGAAAGGGUUUUUCUGGUGGGGGAUGGGCUCGCGGCCUAUCAGCUUGUUGGUGGGGUGAUGGCCUACCAAGGCUUUGACGGGUAGCCGGCCUGAGAGGGUGACCGGUCACAUUGGGACUGAGAUACGGCCCAGACUCCUACGGGAGGCAGCAGUGGGGAAGAUUGCACAAUGGGCGCAAGCCUGAUGCAGCGACGCCGCGUGAGGGAUGGAGGCCUUCGGGUUGUGAACCUCUUUCGCUCAUGGUCAAGCCGCAACAAUGGUUGUGGUGAGGGUAGUGGGUAAAGAAGCGCCGGCUAACUACGUG